GCCAGCAUAGUGCAGUGGUUUGAACAUUGGACUGCAGCUCUGGAGACCAGAGUUCAAAUCCCGGCUUGGCC